AACGUAGGGGGCGAGCGUUGCCCGGAUUCACUGGGCGUAAAGCGCGUGUAGGCGGUCCGUUAAGUCGAAUGUGAAAUCUCCGAGCUCAACUCGGAAAUUGCAUACGAUACUGGCGGACUUGAGGACGGUAGAGGUCGGUGGAAUGAGCGGUGUACCGGUGAAAUGGACAGAUAUCGCUCGGAACACCAGUGGCGAAGGCGGCCGACUGGGCCGAUCCUGACGCUGAGACGCGAAAGCCAGGGGAGCGAACCGG
rnacentral:misc_RNA from 1 species